UCCUGUUAGGGUGUUAUGCUGAACUAUAAAUUCGCUCUAUUCACAACAGCCAGGCACCCAUUUCUCAGAAGCUAUAGACAGCCUAAUUUACCAUUUAGAGUGCUCCUCAGCUUGGGCCCAAGAUUAAUCUGGAGGGAUGGUCUCGGUAGCAGAGCUUGAACAGUUAAAUGUCUGUACCACUAACACCCUAGCAGAUGGAGAUCUCAGACACUGAGAAGUUCUAGCCCCAAAGAUAAUUUAUAGGAGGGAAUCGUCUCCACACUCCUAGACUGAAGCUACUCUGGACAAAAAACAGCUCUGGACCCUUUGACUAUACUCAAGGAGCACUCCUAAAGUGGGGCUUGAUGGCUAAAAAUAGUCACACAGCACAUGCUUGUAACCUAUGUCAAAGUCAGAGGACAAAGCAGAGAAGUUAUUCAGAGUUAUUAUUCAGAGGGAGCCUGUGCUUCCUGAGAAGGAUGAGAGCUGAAAACAAGUCUUCAUGCAAACCUGCCUUGGUCCUAACCACUCAUUUCAAUGAGGAAGUAAAACAAUGAAGAAUGCUACACAUCACCUGCAGGAGAGAAGUGAUAAACUAAUAUGAAGAAAGAAAUAUACAUUCUUAAACAUGGCAAUAUGGGGGUUUGUUUUGUUUGACUAUGUAAAA